GAUGAACGCUAGCGACAGGCUUAACACAUGCAAGUCGAGGGGCAACGGGACGUAGCAAUACGUUGCCGGCGACCGGCGGAUGGGUGAGUAACGCGUAUGCAACCUACCCACGACAGGGGGAUAGCCCGUUGAAAGACGGAUUAAUACCCCAUAAAACAGGGGUUCCGCAUGGGACUAUUUGUUAAAGGGUUCUCCGCGAGGGGGACAUCGGUUGUGGAUGGGCAUGCGUUCCAUUAGGCAGUUGGUGAGGUAACGGCUCACCAAACCGACGAUGGAUAGGGGAACCGAGAGGUUGGUCCCCCACACUGGUACUGAGAUACGGACCAGACUCCUACGGGAGCAGCAGUGAGGAAUUUUGGCAAUGGACGGAAGUCUGAACCAGCCAAGUCGCGUGAAGGAAGGCGGCCCUAAGGGUUGUAAACUUCUUUUGUAAGGGAAUAAAGUGCGUUACGUGUAGUGCAUUGCAAGUACCUUACGAAUAAGGAUCGGCUAACUCCGUG
rnacentral:rRNA from 1 species